rnacentral:misc_RNA from 1 species
GAUGAAGAACGUAGCGAAAUGCGAUACUUGGUGUGAAUUGCAGAAUCCCGUGAACCAUCGAGUCUUUGAACGCGAGUUGCGCCCGAAGCCAUUAGGCCGAGGGCACGCCUGCCUGGGUGUCACACACCGUUACCCUCGCGCCAACGUCCAUCGUUGGCCGCGGCGCGGGGCGUGCGCUGACCUCCCGCGAGCGGGGUCUCGUGGUUGGUUGAAAAUCGAGUUCGCGGUCGAGGGUGCCGUGAUGAAAUGGUGGAUGGGCGACGCCCGAGGCCAAUCACGCGCGACUCUGUCCGGUUCGGACUCCUGGACCCCUUCGGCGUCUCCGGACGCUCUUUGGCGAGACCUCAGGUCAGGCGGGGCUACCCGCUGAGUUUAAGCAUAUCAAUAAGCGGAGGA